rnacentral:lncRNA from 1 species
GCAGCCUUCAUCUGCCUUCACAGCCGUUGUAACACAUCGCUUGUUAUCAUCCGCCUGUUCUGCCAUUGAGGACUUCUUGGAUGAUUCUUUGUCUAUCUCCUUCCCUUUGACCUUACCACCUUGAGUGACCCUGCUGGGACUAUGAGAUUCCCGACGGCUUCGCUCACAAGGGUCAUAGGAAUGUGCAAGCACACUCACCACGACAAGGUGAUGAUCCAGUGAGUGAGGCCUAGGAGCUAGGUCAGGGGUGACUACCAUUUUCAGUUUGAGGAAAACAUUCCCCUCCAGGUGAGCUUCUGUGAGGUGGGGGAUAGAAGCAAAGUGAACCAUGCAUAACAUUUACCUUUGUACAGUAAGUUACUGUCUACAUGCACACUUCUCUGUACAGUGGUGCCUCGGGUUAAGAACUUAAUUCGUUCUGGAGGUCCGUUCUUAACCUGAAACUGUUCUUUACUUGAGGUACCACUUUAGCUAAUGGGGCCUCCCGCUGCUGCUGCUGCACUGCCACCGAGCAAUUUCUGUUCUCAUCCUGAAGCAAAGUUCUUAACCCGAGGUACUAUUUCUCGGUUAGCAGAAUUUGUAACCUGAAACGUCUGUAACCCAAGGUACCACUGUACUCUCUUCAGACAAUAUUGGAGUUAAGGGGUGGAUUCCAACAGAGAUGGAUUCACUGGCGGAGGAAGAGGCGUGCAGGGAGACUGCACCGCCCCCGGCAGCAUGAUCCUGGUGGGGUGCCAUCGCGGCUGCCCCCCGCUCGUGCUGGGUGCCACGCCCCUACAGGCGGCACACCACGCACCCAGGACAUGCACCACGCCCCUACAGGCGGCGCACCAUGGCCCUGGGAUGCGUGCCAGCCCCGCCCCCGCCUGCUCUCCGCCACCUGGUGCCGGAGCAUGAAGCUCCGCCACUGGGUGGAUUUAGGGAAUCGUAGCCUCUUUCCUCGCACUGUGUGCCGAGCCAAGAGGAUGCCAUGGGAGGUGCUGCAUUCAGUGAUGUAGAAUGGAAGGCACCAAAUUUUGACGUCACACAGGUCACUGUUGGAAUUUGAAAGCCCCAAGUCUUUUCCAUGGAGCAAAGUGCUAGAGGUUCCCAAUGAGACCUCUCAUCUAGUCAUUGGCCAGGAGAAGGCCUGCUUAGCUUCACUAUGGUCUCUGCAUCAUAUAUAUUACUUUCUACAAAAUUUGGGAAAGUUCCCAGUUCUUCCGGGGGGGGGGGAGAAAAAACAAUCUGGAGAACUUGGAUUACUUUUUCCCAAUGAUAUGAUAUAGUUCAGGGAAAUGACUCUCCCUGGUGCAAGACAGCCCAAGCUGUUUAGCAACUUGAAUUGAGCCCAGAAGCCAAUGUAGAUGAGCAAAAAUUGGAGUCCUACAACAAUUUGGUCCAAUACACUUUUCCUCGUUCAGUUUCCCUUGACAACCCUAUUCAACACAAUCACAACGGUGGCCCCAUGAGCCAAUAACCUGAAGAGUGAACUUGGGCGACACUAAGACAAUAUGCCAUUAUUUGCACUAUUUUGCAACCCUCAGACGGUUACCUUUAAAAAAAAUUAUUUGCUCAUUUUAUAGCUCCACUCCUACCAGCCAUGUGAUCGCUAACAUUAUGCCUGCGAACCAGGAUACCCGCCAAAUAGCCGCCUUCUCAGCCAAUAUCACUUACUGAGGCAUGAAGAGCCAACCUUCAGCUGUGAAUGCAUGGCAGAGCAGCAGCUGACACCCGUCUCUUGGAAAAUUAGGUUGGGGUGCAAGAGGAUUCUUGCUGCUGGCUUUCAUUCAUUGCCUUGGAAGAAGGGAGGCCAGGCUGCUCUUGUCAAUGAAGCAGCGAUCGCUAGCAGCUGAGGAGCUGGCUCAAAUUUCCCAUUAACAAGAUCAUCUCCAUUUGUGUGCCAGGGGUUAAAGAGGGGAAGAUUUAGAGCCCAGCCAAAGAAAAUAUAUGCUUGCCAGUUGCCACCUCCCAGCUAACAUUACCCAGGUUAGGAACAAGAUAGGAACAUAGGAAGUCUGUCCUACACUGAGUCAGAACAUUGAUGUAUCUAGCUUGUUAGGCGCUACCCGUGCUAUUUUUCUAGAAAAAGAGGUGCCAGAGCUCAGCAUGAACUUGUUCUCUCAGAAUGGCAAUUGCGCCCACUUAAGAGGCACCAGAACUGAGCUCUAGCUGAAGAAAAGCCCUAGGCUCUAUACUGACAGGAUUUCAGGCAGCAUUCACUUCAAGUCCUACCUGGAGAUGUUGGGGAUUGAACUUGAUACCUUCUCCCUGAUAAGCAGAUGCCGUACGAUGACACCACAGCCUUUCUCUGAUUAGUCCUACCCAUAACACCACUACUGGUGUCAGCAGGCCUCUGAACACCAGUUUCUGGAAAUCGCAGGUGGUGGGGAGAGUCCUGUUGCACUCAUGUCUUGCUUACCUGAAGGAGCUAUACCUGACUAUACCAAGGAGCCCAGACACUGAAGUCCAGCUCCGAGGGCCUUCUGAUGGUUCCCUCACUGUGAGAAGUGAGGUUACAGGGAACCAGGCAGAGGGCCUUCUUGGUAGUGGCACCCACUCUGUGGAACACCCUCCCAUCAGAUGUCAAGGAAAUAAGCAACUAUCUGACUUUUAGAGGACAUCUGAAGGAAGCUCUGUUUAGGGAAUGAAUGAAUGAAUGAGUCCUGUUGCACUCAUGUCUUGCUUACAGGCUUUCCACAGUAUUAUGGUUGACUACUUGUGAGAACAGGAUGUUGGAGCUGAUGGGCGACUGCCCUGAUCCAGCAGGCUCUUGGUUUGGUUUGGUUUGGUUUGGUUUGGUUUGGUUUGGUUUGGUUUGGUUAAUAUACCACCCCUUCAUCACAAGAUCUCAGGGCGGUUCACAGAGAAAACCCUUUUUAGAAGAUGCAACUCAGGUGUUAAUAAAUCUGACCAGAUUACAGUUGCAGAAAUGGAGAAAGAAAACUUUUUUAAAAAAACAAAAACAAAAAACUUACCUUGGAACAGGGGUGCCAACUUGAACAAAAUAUUGUGGGGGCCCAGGUAAGCCCCGCCCCACAUAAUCAAACACAAGAUGUGGUGAAUGACAAUGCCCAUUGACUUUGGGGGGGGUGUCUGGCCAGUGGGGCCCCUCAAAUGUUUUACUGUGGGGGUGAAGGGACCUUGGCCCCUAGGAGUUGGUUCCUAUGCUAUUGCCAGUAAAUAACCUAUAAGGCAAAAGAUGUCAUGUGACAAAGACACAUGAGAGCGGAAGCAGGCUGGGAAGUGCUGGGACUGCACAAUCAUUUGGGCCUACUAAAGUUAUUCAGGCCUAACUGCUAACUGUUGAGUCACUCUGACAUGUGACGUAUUAGCCAGUUUCACUUUGUGCUCUCUGUAAGAUUUCAGCAGAGUCUGUCUGUUUCAGCCAUGAACAGAGUCAGUAUGUAAUCUCAGUCAAACUGUUUGGAACCAUGUUGUUUAUGAAGAAGCUUAUUUUAACUCAGUAAAGCUUCUAUUCUUUAAAACUCUGCAUUAUUAAUUUACGCUUCACGUCAGGUUAUGGGCCCAGAGUUUUAUGGAUGUCGAAUUGCUAAAGCUGGAGAAUUAGGGUGCUGUUGGUGAGGACCUCGAAGGGACUGAAGGUCCAGUGGUGAGGCCGUGUACCGAAGAAGCAGACCCGGUGCAGCAAGGAGCAGAAGCCGUGUCAGCUCAGCAACCUGCGCAGUUUAUUAAUCUUGGCAAGACUGCCCAGAUGGAACGUCUGAAUGGUAAGAACUACCUGACUUGGGCUCUCAAGACUGAACUGGUUCUAAAACAUGAUAGACUUUGGCACUGUGUGGAAACUGAAAUCCACAACCCUCUGAGCAGGAACGUGAAGAGCCAGAGCGCAUCAAAAGAAAACCAGUGAAUGCAGGCCUUUCACUUCUGCUCAGUCCUACCAUCUGCCAUUCAAGUGGUAUCAUGGGGGCAAAGCGUGAUUCCUGUACAAGCUGAUGCAUGUUAGAUAGAGGUGGAGGGGAGGGGAGCUCAAAAAUGAGCAGAAAUGGAAGAAAAUGAUCUGGAACAUGCUAUUAGAGUGCCGGUUUAUUAUACAGAAGCCUGCAUAAGCUUGGUGCUCGUCGGCUGGCAAAUCGGUGAUUAGCCAUACUUCAGACAUGCCUAUGGUCAGGAGGUCCAGCAAUUCACAGGAAACCAGGGACACAAGGGAAAGCUCAGCUGCCUAUAAAAACCCACACAGGGCUGUGUUUGCCCUCUCUUCGGGUGAUCUUCCUGGGUGAACAGGCAAUCUUUUCCUCCUCCACUUGUUGGGAGAUUAAAAAAAAAAAAAAGAGGUUGUAAAAUCUUCCAUUUCUUGAUUGUGUGUGGUUGUAAAUGCCAACUUGUUUUUAAUUAAAAGGACAGAGCGUCAGCAGUUUAACAAGGCACAGGUUUUUCGUUUUGCUGGAAGGGUUGCUCCGGCGAGGUUGACUCCACAGAGCGUUUGAUCAUCAGACGUGCAUCUGAGCACAUGCUGUGUAUGAAAUGGGCUUUAUUCUAAAGUUCUGAGUCCCAUCCGGACUGUGCAUUUAAAGUAGUAUAAUACCACUUUGAGAGCCAGCGUGGUAUAGUGGUUAAGAGCAGUGGACUUGUAAUCUGGUGAACUGGGUUCGCUUCCCCGCUCCUCCACAUGCAGCUGCUGGGUGACCUUGGGCUAGUCACAUGUCUCUGAAGUCUCUCAGCCCCACUCACCUCACAGAGUGUUAGGACGCGGGUGGCGCUGUGGGUUAAACCACAGAGCCUAGGACUUGCCGAUCAGAAGGUUGGUGGUUCGAAUCCCUGCGACGGGGUGAGCUCCCGUUGCUCGGUCCCUGCUCCUGCCAACCUAGCAGUUUGAAAGCACGUCAAAGUGCAAGUAGAUAAAUAGGUACCGCUCCAGUGGGAAGGUAAACGGCGUUUCCGUGCUCUGCUCUGGUUCGCCAGAAGUGGCUUAGUCCUGCUGGCCACAUGACCCGGAAGCUGUAUGCCGGCUCCCUCGGCCAGUAAAGCGAGAUGAGCGCCGCAGCCCUAGAGUCGGCCACGACUGGACCUAAUGGUCAGGGGUCCCUUUCCCCUUUACCUUUAAUACCACUUUAAACAGUCAUGGCUUUUCCGAGCACUGUAGUUUAAGGGUGCUGAGAGUUGUUAGGCAACCUCAAUUCGCAGCACAGACCGAUAGUUCUCAGAGUAGCUUUUCCCAGGGGACUCUGGGAAUUGUUGACAGGAUUCUUUGAGGGAAAGUCACCUGGCUGUGAACUGAAAGGCGAUUGUCGGUUUUAGCAGUGCCUGAGCAAGAGGCCUUAAGAGAUGUGUGCCCAGAAAAAUUAAAGAGGGAAUAUUUUAUUGGUAAACUGAACACUAAUAAAUAUCAUUUAUGCUAGGGUUGCGAUAUUUCCAGAGGUAAAAAUCCAGACCCCAAAAAAGGUGUUGCACUUUUUUUGCAUGAUAGUCCAAAAAGUUUUGGAGUUCACCCCCUGGCUGGCCACCGCAACACAUAUUGUUAAACGUAAGAGUGUCAACAGUUGAACUCUUUUGUUGAUAUAAAGGUGAUUUGGGUACCUAUGAAUACUCCAGUCCAAAUAACAUAUAAUAUGCUUUUCCUUGAUAACUACGGCCACAUCAGAUGUUAACCAGUGGUUUGCAGGGUUGGGGUUUAUAAAUGUUUCGUUGGGUUGGGGGAUACAUUGUUUGACUGUUUGCAAUGCUAUUUGGCACCAUUUGCUUUUCCUACCAGCUGCUUUUUUCGUUCAUUUUUAGGAAAUCUUGCCAAUCAAGAAGCAUUAUGAACAGCUCCAGGCUUUAUGCUUGCUGCAUAGAACACUGGUGUUUUCCCUAACAAAUACAUAAUGUAUGUCACAUGAAUAGGUAUACACAUUUUAUUCAUAGGGCCUUCUCGGUGGUGGCGCCUGCCCUGUGGAACACCCUCCCAUCAGAUGUCAAGGAAAUAAACAUCUGACUUUUAGAAGACAUCUGAAGACAGCCCUGUUUGGGGAAGUUUUUAAUGUCUAAUGUUUUAUCCUGUUUUUAAUAUUCUGUUGGGAGCCACCCAGAGUGGCUGGGGAAACCCAGCCAGAUGGGCGGGGUAUAAAUAAUAAAUUAUUAUUAUUUAUUAAAGAUCUGGUAACCUGAUUAUGCCAGGGUUCCUAAUCAGGUGUUCAUACCACCUGUUCUGUGUUUGCUACAGAAAACUGGUUUAAUGUCAGGUGUUUCUCAUCGCAAUCAGCUGCCCAGAGUGAGUAGGAUGUCACAAUGUGAUGAUGUCAUUAAAUAUCAAUCAAAUAUAAAAAAUACCUUGUGGAUUGAUACAACCAAUCAGAUUUGGUUAUGUUAUGAUGUCAUUGAAGGCAAGUGACAGUGAGGACAAAUAAAGGCAUUUUAAAUGAAUGGUGUCUUUGCAAGGAGUUCCAAAAACAUUUGUGAUGAAAUGGUACAUAGCUUUCCUUCAGCUCUGUUGGUAAUCAAGUCUUCCUGUUUUGAACAACUACAGUCUUCUUGUUGCUGCUACUGCUGCUGCUUUUCAAAAAGACUUACACUAAAAACUACAUCAAGCUUUUAAAAAGAAAGAUGAUUAAUGAACUCUCGCUGUAGUGCACAUUGCUGCGGGGGGGGUCACUUCCUGCCCUUCCCCUCUGUUCAGGUCAGGUGUUUGGUUAUUAUUUAAAUGCAGCUACUUAAUCUAAUUGUAAAAUAUUCUUUCCCAAGAGAAGCAAAGAGAAGGAGGGCAAAUAACAGUGGGCAAAUUUGCUGAUCUUUCAAAGUCUUUGAUCACCAGCUAAAGGAUGUUGUGUCCAUUCCGCUCACUUUUCAGAAUAAAUUGUGAAGGUUUAUAGAGAGAGGCAAAUGGGGCCGCAGCGCUUGGGUUGCUACUGACCCUUUAAUUAGAGCAGCAGGGUGGAAGUAAAUAAACCCUGGCUUCUCUCUUUUAUGACCUUCGAUUUCUGACAGGGACAAGCUAUACUCAAGAAACCUUUUAAUAACCACGUUCCUUGCCGGUAGAGGGGGAAAGUGUUUGAUCUUUCCUCUACAGGACGGUAGUUUCAGGCCAGGUGUUGCUGACAUCGCAAAAUGAUUCACCUAAAAGCAACAGAAGAAAAUAAAAAUCCUGUGGUAUUGGGGAAGGACAUUUCUUUCUGUCGAUGAUCCCCUUAGUGGGAAAGCACUGGGGGAGAACUGGGGUCCUUUAAUGAGCACAGGCCAUUGUUAUGUAACUGCUGCGCUUCAACAAGCACAGUGUUUUAUGGAAGAGACUGGCCUCUUCACUCUCAGCAAUCCAAAAGAAAAGCAGACCCGGAGGGACAACAAAUGGAAAGCAGAGAAGAAACCUUGCCUGUGACCUUUGCUUCUGCAACUCAGCUGCUCCCAGCUGCUCUAAAAUCUUCUACUCUCUUAAACAUGUUUUCCCUUUCUCCCUUCCUGCUCCCGAGGUCCUCACAGGGCACCUAUGUGGUGCCACCCUUCCUUCUCCCUUCAAAACCCACCCCUUCCAUGAAGGUUUUGACUUAAUCAUAACACAAGAACAGCCCUGCUGGAUCAAACCAAAUACAGUGGUACCUCGGGUUAAGAAAUUUAGGUCCGUUCUUAACCUGAAACUGUUCUUUACCUGAAGCACCACUUUAGCUAAUGGGGCCUCCCGCUGCCACUGUGCAAUUUCUGUUCUCAUCCUGAAGCAAAGUUCUUAACCCGAGGUACUAUUUCUGGGUUAGCAGAGUCUGUAACCUGAACCGUCUGUAACCUGAGGUAUCACAGUAGAGUCCGCCAAUCCACUGUGGCCAGCCAGAAGCCCAUGGGAAACCCUCAAGGAAGACCUGAACUCUCCCCUUCCGCAAUUUCCAGAGACUGGUACUCAACAUUAUCCAACGUGAUAUGGAAGGCAUUUCCUGAAAUAGUGACUCAUCCAAAGAUACCCUGAGAGUUUCAAAUUUACACAGUCAAUUCAACACUGGCCUUUCCAAGUCCCAGUUCCAGCAUGCUCUCUGCUACACCAGGGAUGGCAAAUGUAUGGACCUCCAUAUGUUGUUGGAUUCCAAUUCCGGUCAGUCCCAGCAGCCAAGGUUGAUGGUCAGGGACAGUGAGAACUAACGUCCCAGUAUCUGAAGGCCACAGGUUCCUCAUCCCUGCACUACACCAUACUGGGGCUUAGCUCACUAGGCGCUCACUUCCAAUAGCCACGUGGUCAAACAUCUACCAUAACAGAUCAUCAACUGAGAAUAUAUUACUAAGGUCUACAAGCCCCACUCAGGGACACGGAUGGCGCUGUGGGUUAAACCACAGAGCCUAGGACUUGCCGAUCAGAAGGUUGGCAGUUCGAAUCCCCGCGACGGGGUGAGCUCCUGUUGCUCAGUCCCAGCUCCUGCCCACCUAGCAGUUCGAAAGCACGUCAAAGUGCAAGUAGAUAAAUAGGUACCGCUCCGGCCGGAAGGUAAACGGCAUUUCCAUGUGCUGCUCUGGGUCACCAGAAGCGGCUUAGUCAUGCUGGCCACAUGACCCGGAAACUGUACGCCGGCUCCCUCGUCCAAUGAAGCAAGAUGAGCACUGCAACUCCAGAGUCGGUCACGACUGGACCUAAUCGUCAGGGGUCCCUUUACCUUUACAAGCCCCACUCAGACACUGACUUUGGGCUAUGAAAUGUCCAUUAUUCCAAGCAAUGUGUAAGAGCUCAGUACUUCUUUCUCUUUCAGCCCUCCACAGUUGGAAGAUGCUGUCCAUUAGCAACCUGGACUGUUCUACUGGAAGACAUUCCCUCCUCCUUUCAUCGGUCCUGAUUACUGGAAGGCUGCCCCAGACAGUCUUUCCAAACAUUCUUUGCAUUGCAAGCACCGAUUAAUGUCUCUGAAUAUUUUCGCACCUCUCUGAGAACCGAUUUGACGCCCUUUGGCAAAUUCUUCGG